rnacentral:rRNA from 1 species
ACUCAAAUGAAUAGACGGGGACCCGCACAACCGGUGGAGCGUGUGGUUCAAUUCGAGACAAAACGAAAAACCUCACCAAGGUUUGACAUGUAACCGUACAUUUUUCUAGAAAUAGAGAGAAAUCCGUAAGGAUGGUUACACAGGUGCUGCAUGGCUGUCGUCAGCUCGUGCCGUGAGGUGUUCCCUUAAGUGGGGAAACGAGCGCAACCCGCGUGAAAUGUUGAAUUUUUCAUUUCAGACAGCCCCGAUUUUUAAUCGGGGAGGAAGGAGCGGAAGACGUCAAGUCAGCACGGCCCUUAUACCUUGGGCUACACACACACUACAAUGGCGAAAAACAAUGGGCAGCAAGCCGGCAACGGCAAGCAAAUCCCUUAAAUUUCGCCUCAGUUCAGAUUGGGGUCUGCAACCUGACCCCAUGAAGUUGGAAUCGGUAGUAAUCGCAGAUCAGAAUGCUGCGGUGAAUACGUUCUCGGGUCUUGCACACACCGCCCGU